rnacentral:misc_RNA from 1 species
GGAUGAAGAACGCAGCGAAAUGCGAUACGUAGUGUGAAUUGCAGAAUUCAGUGAAUCAUCGAAUCUUUGAACGCACAUUGCACCUCUCGGUAUUCCGGGAGGUAUGCCUGUUCGAGCGUCAUUUGUACCCUCAAGCUCUGCUUGGUGUUGGGUGUUUGUUCCGCCUCUGUGUGUGAACUCGCCUCAAAACAAUUGGCAGCCGGCGUACUUGUUUCGGAGCGCAGCACAUUUUGCGAUCCAGAUCAACGUACAGCGGCAUCCAAGAAGCCUUAUUUAACGCUCUUGACCUCGGAUCAGGUAGGGAUACCCGCUGAACUUAAGCAUAUCAAUAAGCGGAGGA